UACGGAGGGGACUAGCGUUGUUCGGAAUUACUGGGCGUAAAGCGUACGUAGGCGGAUUUGUAAGUCAGGGGUGAAAUCCCGAGGCUCAACCUCGGAACUGCCUUUGAUACUGCAAAUCUCGAGUCCGGAAGAGGUGAGUGGAAUUCCUAGUGUAGAGGUGAAAUUCGUAGAUAUUAGGAAGAACACCAGUGGCGAAGGCGGCUCACUGGUCCGGUACUGACGCUGAGGUGCGAAAGCGUGGGGAGCAAACAGG
rnacentral:rRNA from 1 species